CUCCGUAGCUCAGUUGGUUAGAGCGAUGCACUGGAUAUGCAGGGCCACAGGUUCGAUUUGUGCAAGAGG